CUAGCUCUUCCCUUUUCUGCAGCGCAUCCUGGAGCGCCCGAUGAAGUCGCUGGCUCUCGGCCUCCGCCUCUCGACGCCUCUUCCUCAAGACCUCGGAUUCCGCCUUCGCGUCCGCGACGGCCCGCUGCUCGUAUGCCAGUUGAAUCUUCAGUUGUUGCAGCUCGGCUAUCUUUUCCCUGAGGGCGACUGAAAUCCUUUCAACGAUUCCUCUUAAGGACUGGAGCUCAUCAAAAUCUCGGGCGGAAGUAAGCUGAGCCCUGCUGGCCAGCUGCCUCUGGAGAUGAGCGACUUCAUCGGUCGUCGCCCUGAGUCUCCCUUUAUAUUCC
rnacentral:lncRNA from 1 species